rnacentral:rRNA from 1 species
GACGAACGCUGGCGGCGUGCUUAACACAUGCAAGUCGAACGAGGUCCACUGCGUAGCAAUACAAGGGAAGACCUAGUGGCGAACGGGUGCGUAACACGUGAGGAACUUGUCCCGGUCUCUGGGAUAACAGUUGGAAACGACUGCUAAUACCGGAUGACGUCGGAAUCUCGCAUGGGAUACUGACGAAAGGGUUACUGGAUCGGGAGAGCCUCGCGGCCUAUCAGCUUGUUGGUGAGGUAACGGCUCACCAAGGCAUCGACGGGUAGCUGGUCUGAGAGGAUGAUCAGCCACACUGGGACUGAGACACGGCCCAGACUCCUACGGGAGGCAGCAGUGGGGAAUCUUGCGCAAUGGGCGAAAGCCUGACGCAGCAACGCCGCGUGCGGGAAGAAGGCCCUCGGGUUGUAAACCGCUUUCAGUAGGAACGAAAAUGAGGUAACCUGCAGAAGAAAGGUGCGGGCCAACUAACGUGCCAGCAGCCGCGGUAA